rnacentral:rRNA from 1 species
GUCUACGGCCAUGCCACCCUGAACAAGCCUGAUGUCUGAUCUCAGAAGCUAAGCAGGGUUGGGCCUGGUUAGUACUUGGAUUGGAGACCACCUAGGAAGACCAGGUGCUGUAGGCG